rnacentral:misc_RNA from 1 species
UCCGAGUUGACCCCGGCAGUCUCCUAUGAGUCCCCGCCAUGACGCGCUGGCAACAUAGAACGAGGGUUGCGCUCGUUGCGGGACUUAACCCAACAUCUCACGACACGAGCUGACGACAGCCAUGCAGCACCUGUGUUACGGCUCUCUUUCGAGCACUCCUCGAUCUCUCGUGGAUUCCGUACAUGUCAAGGGUAGGUAAGGUUUUUCGCGUUGCAUCGAAUUAAUCCACAUCAUCCACCGCUUGUGCGGGUCCCCGUCAAUUCCUUUGAGUUUUAGCCUUGCGGCCGUACUCCCCAGGCGGGGUGCUUAAUGCGUUAGCUUCGGCACGGAUGGAGUCGACACCACCCACACCUAGCACCCAUCGUUUACGGCGUGGACUAC